CCRACGGGAGGCAGCAGUGGGGAAUAUUGCACAAUGGGGGAAACCCUGAUGCAGCCAUGCCGCGUGUGUGAAGAAGGCCUUCGGGUUGUAAAGCACUUUCAGUUGUGAGGAAAGGGAUGUAGUUAAUAACUGCAUUCUGUGACGUUAACAACAGAAGAAGCACCGGCUAACUUCGUGCCAGCAACCGCGGUAAUACGAGGGGUGCAAGCGUUAAUCGGAAUUACUGGGCGUAAAGCGUUCGUAGGCGGUUAUUUAAGCAAGAUGUGAAAGCCCAGGGCUCAACCUUGGAACUGCAUUUUGAACUGGGUAACUAGAGUACUGUAGAGGGUGGUGGAAUUUCCAGUGUAGCGGUGAAAUGCGUAGAGAUUGGAAGGAACAUCAGUGGCGAAGGCGGCCACCUGGACAGAUACUGACGCUGAGGAACGAAAGCGUGGGGAGCGAACAGGAUUAGAUACCCUGGUAGUCCACGCCGUAAACGAUGUCAACUAGCCGUUCGUGGACUUGAUCCGUGAGUGGCGCAGCUAACGCACUAAGUUGACCGCCUGGGGAGUACGGCCGCAAGGUUAAAACUCAAAGGAAUUGACGGGG
rnacentral:rRNA from 1 species